rnacentral:lncRNA from 1 species
AUAAACCUAGAAUCCCUAAAAGAAGGAGGACAUAUACACUCUAAGGAUCAGCAGCCGCUUUCAUAGGAGACCCCCCUUGAAGAUUGUUUUCUUCGUCACCCCCUUCAGAUUUUUGUUUUUCUUCUCCUUCACAUUCAAAAAACCCUAGAACUUCAUCUUCUUCAUCCUUUAGCUUGAGCCGCAAUACACCAAGGACCCUCCCCCCCAGCCUUUUCUUCUUCUUCCUCGACUAACCUAGAGAACACAAGGAAAAUCCUAGACUCCAAUGAAGUUGUGCUAUAGCCAUUCCCCAGCCGAAGAGUACACACACUUAGAACUCCCAGCUACACACACCUCUCACACCACCUGGAACUCACCGGAGACAGCAGCAGCUGGAGCCAUCUCUUUACUGCCAGAAUCUGGUGAGGAUAAACCCAGUCGCUUCUUCUGCUUCUUCCCAUUCACGACAUCACACCAGAAACCAGCCUGCUACUCUUCUCGAAAACUCAAGCAAAACAGUUUUAAGACGAGGUUGGUUUGAGGUCAUCGAUGUCCGUUCGAGGCUUAAUCGUCGGUUCGAGGUUCAGGUCAUUAGCUCGCUUUUUGGUUCAUUGUAUCGGAGGCUUCUCUCAUUGUAUACGUUAAAGAAAGCGCAACAAUAAAGGUCCGAUUUUAUUAUUCUUACUCACUCUUAUUGGUACAUUACAUGUGCUUAGUGUUUAAUUUGAGUUUAUUUAAGUGACCUACUGUACAAUUUUGGAAUUAUCUAUAUGUUUGUGUGCUCGUAUUGGUUUUCAUUUUAAGAUUUCUUAGUUUGCGAUUUGAGAAUCUCUUUCUAGUAAUUGAUGAAUGGUUGCCGAAAGUUCUGUGUGAAAUUAGUUCAUGUUGAAUGUCUCAGGAAAGUAUAUUUGAAGUUUGAAUCUAAAGAGUAAUUUUAAAAUAUUGGUAUGACAAUGUGAUUAUCAUUUUUUUAGUUAUCUAGAUUCUUACUAAAUAAACAAGUUCUUUUGCUUCAUUCUGAUUUUGUUGGCUAGUUAUUUAGAAAGAAAGUUUAAAAAUAACACUUUCUAAAAGUUUUGUUACUGAAGAAAUGAAGUAGCAAGCUAGAUCAAAACCUUGUUCUUGUUAAUUUAUAUAACCUCAAAGGUUUUUUUAGGAUAACAAAUUUAUGAAAUAUUGUAGCUUGCUUUAGGCGCAAUUAAUAAUAAAUUAUCAUGGACAUGAGUACGGUUCCCCUGGUAUGGUCAUGAUAUGUAAAUUCCAAAUCCGGGGGUACAUUUAUGUGACCCGACCGCAAUUUAAUCUUAUUAAUAAAAUAAACAUGUUGUAGAUCAUGGGUACGAUUCCCGUAACAUGAUUCGUAAUGUGUAAUCAAAUAAUUAGCUGUAUGAUAAUCGCGAAUUUUUAAAAGUGGUAGGAGGAAUAAAAUGCACAAUAAGUUUAAAAUAUGUAGUUAAUCAGAUAAUUAGGCCAAUAAUAAUAGUUGAGAGACCGUGCUAAAACCACGGAACCCGGGAAUGCCUAACACCUUCUCUCGGGUUAACAGAAUUCCUUACCCGGAUUUCUGUGUUCGCAGACCAUAAAUAAGAGUCAAACUUCCUCGAUUCGAGAUUUUAAACCGGUGACUUAGGACACCAUAAAUUAUCUCAAGUGGCAACUAUGAUUUUAAUAUGAAUAAUCCCGUUUCGAUUGUCACUUAAAUUGGAAAACACUCCCUUAUACCCUUCUGGGUAGUAAAUAGGAGGUGUGACACCCAUGUUAUAUCAUGUUUUGGCUAGAUUUUAAGCUUCCUUAUGCCUUGUUUUGACACAUGUGCUAAACAUGCUUUAUUUGUUUGUUGGACUACUUGAGCAUUUAUUAUUCAUGAUAGAAUUUAUGUAUAGGGUUUUGGUACCUUAUCUAGAAAUGAUGGGCUAUUUGAAUGUUGGAUUAUAUGUCGUAGCCAUAGUCAUACACUGUACACAUGCGUACACCCUGCAUGUUUAUCUCUCUUAUCCAUAGAUACUCUUAUCUAUUUUACAUAUGCAUGUAUCCCUGUAUAUGGUUCUCUUAUAUGGACUGAGGUUAUGUUAUGUGAGCUGUCCAUGUAGAUUGAUAUGUUUAUGGCAUACGAGUUGUUUGUGUGGAUUGAGGUGAUUAUUUAUGAUUGAUUAUUGAUCUAUUAUUCUUGGAUAUAGCGUGUGAAUAUGAAUUUAUUCCUCAUGAGUCACCCUCUCACGUUUCUUUCUUAUUGGCAUACACAAGGUUCAACAUAUGGAGUAUCGGGGCACAAAAAGUACUUGUUGUUAUAAAGUUUGAGUCAUUAUCAUGCAUAAACAUUCUAGACUCAUUUGGAAGUAUUCAUAUAAAUUCUAAUUAUUGCAUAUAUUCUAUAUAUGCGGAUCUGGUCCCUUGAUUUUUUUAUUUUGAUCACUUUGUCUGAGAAAUCAUGCUUAUUAUCUCCUACUUUAACUGUGUUUUUCUCGUACAUUGUUUCUUGGUUACUUCUCAAUUAUUGUGUAUACUUAUGAACUGAACAGGUUAUAAAAAGUGAGUAUCAUUUCUUAAAAACUUUUCUCUACCUUAUUGGGCUUAGAUUUGAUACCUAUUGAGUACACAUUAUCUUUAUGUACUUAUACUAUACUUCUAUAUAUUUUUGUACAAAUCCUGACAUUGGUCCUGGCGAUGUUUAGGAGGGAGCGUAGGAGCGUGCUGGAGACUUCUUGGUGAGCUGUUGUGCUUGGAUUUAUAGCUUAUGGAGCCUCUCUCUAUCUUAUCUAUUAUUUCUUGUUCUAGAUAGUAUUUUGUAUUUUGAGGCUGUUGUAUUUCGUUUAGCGGCUCAUGACUUGUACUACUGGUCCUUGGGGGUUGAUAUAGUAUUUCACACUUGAUGUUGAUGCUUGACUUAUUUCUGCACUUAUACAUUAUUUUUUUAAUGGUUAUUUGUGUGUGUUGGUUCAUCUAAUGGGUUGGGUUAGUUACUAUCGUGGCCAUGGGAGAUUUUGGGUCGUGAUAAGUUGGUAUCAAAGCUCUAGAUUCAUGGGUUCUACGAGUCAUAGACAUGUUUAGUAGAGUCAUGCGAAUCAGUAGGUAGACAUCUAUACUUAUCUGUGAAGGGAUACAACAAAUUAAGGAAACUUGCAUUUCUUUCUCUCAUCAUCAUGCAACCUUGUUUCAUAUUGAUGUUUGAACCUUUACUCUUCUAUUCUCUUGUAGAUGGUGAGGACACAUGCAUCGGCAGCUACUGAGCAAGAGCUAAUAUCCCAAGUUAGAGCUUGGAAAGGUGAGGGUUGGGGUAGAGCUGAAGCUUAGACCAAACACACACAAUGGAACCCGCACGAGGUAGAGCACCCAUUGAUGCUCAUUGUCGUACUAGAGAUAAUCUAGUUGAGCUGCCUGCAUCUCCAGAGGUAGAUUAGGUCCUAGAUCAGAUUGCUCUGCCGGGUCCAGCACAUGUUUCUAAAGGCUUUAUUGCUACUCCAGUGCUUUAGGAGACUAUGGUCUGAUUGUUAGUUUCUUUGGGAGCAUGUGACAUGCAAGGAUGAUACAUAUGGUCUUAGCUACUUCACAAGCUGGAGGGAGAGCCUAGACCCCAGCUAGUUAUACCCUGGAGCAGGUCACUAUUAAUUUUUAGACUCCAGGAGUUUCAUCAGUUGGGGUAGUUUAGCCUAUAGUUGCACCACGGCCAGAGGCUAGUCCCGCUACGACUGUGGAGGAGCCGAAGAUGAUGGAUCAAUUCAAGAAGUUAUAUCAUCCACGUUUUGAUGGUGAUCACACAGUUUAUGCUCAAGAUUGCUUAUGAGCCGAGUAGGCUAGCAGGUUCACAUCCUCUCACUUGCACUCAAUUGUUGACUCUCUUCUUGGGUAAGUUCAUUUCACUCACUAGGAGGAAUGAGUUGCCUAGAAAGUUUGAGCACCUGCAGCAAGAUCAUGUGUCUUUUAUUGAGUAUGAGAUGAGCUUUACUCAAUUAUCUUACUAUGUAGCUUUCUUGAUUCCCACCAGGGCAAAAAAGGUGACGAGAUUUAUUGAGGGUCUCCAUUUUGGUAUUCGAUCUAGGAUGGCACGAGAGACUGAAACCAGGAAUACCUUUACUUAAGGGUGGAGAUGGCUAGAGCAUGGAGCUCAUUUGUAGGCAUGAGAAGGAGGAGCGUGACACAAAGAAGCCUCUCGAUACUAGUAGAUUUAGUGGUGCCUCAUCUGGAGGCAAGGGCAAUUACGAUAGAGGCCAUUGUAGUAGGUGUCGCACCCCAUUUUCUUGCGAAAGUAAGUUUUGACAUGUGACAACUCUUUUAAAUGGGUAUUAAAAGAGAGACUUGCCACCUAAUGAUUUUAAGGUGCAUUAGGGCACCUUUUUGUGAAUAACUCUAUUUUAACUAGUAUGUGUUGCCAAAGAUUGGGUAAGGACUCAAAUUACUUCGAAAAGAAGGUGUUCAGCACUCUUUGAGAUCCACAACUGUGGUUCCCGACCAAAUUUUAAGCUAUAUGUGAAUAGUAAGUCAUUAACUAAGUUAUUCUAGUUAGACAUAUGAAUUGAGUCAUGAUUAAGCUAAGUGAAUAAACGAUUAAAUAGGCUACUAAUUAUAUAGGUAGAGUAAAUGACCGGAUAUAGUUCAACUACUAAUAAUCAACUAAUUUAAAGGAUAUUCAGAGAAGUGGUACAAAGAUAAUAUAAAGAUAUAACUGGGAAUGGAAUAAGGAAAUAAUUCAUUAAUUGACUAAUAUUGAUUGACAAAGCCUUUUGAUAACAAAGAUGUUCAAACCUCAAAACUACCUAAACAAAUCCUGAAUGUUACUCACUAAUCUUGGAUAGAACAUACAUGAAUAACUGGACAUAGUGGGGGGGGGGGGGGGGUCCUAUAUUUUUAAUCCUAAAGGAUCACCCCGUGCAACAUAUAUAAUACUUCGCAACCUUACGUGCAAUGGUUGCCCGUAUUAUCCAGUGAGCACAAACUAUCAUCUCUAGCUACCCGAUUACUAUCUUUAAGUUGUUACCUAAUGUGCACUAAUUCAAUUCUAAUUCAUACCCUAUAAGUGCCUACUCGUCCCAUUUAUAUAGUCUAGGAGGCGUUGGACAGCUAUAGGGAUAGUUCUAGACUCAACCAAGAAUAUGAUUAGCAUAUAAGGGCUCACAUUUACCUCCCAUAUAGACUCAUAUAGGUGCAAGGACUGUUAUUAAUUAAAACUGAUUAAAAGGUGACAAAAUGGUAUAUUGGUAUAACAAAUUAUGUCCUAUGGGCAUGAUUUCUAAUCAUUGUAUCCAUUCGAAUUAUGAUAGGGGUCUUUCGCUUUGCCAGAUCUAGAGAGAUACUACAAGUCCUCUAUCCCAGAUUCCAUCGUCGUGGACAUCGGGUUCACCGAUACUACUGGGCAGAUCUUUAAAAUUGGCUUUUGUAUUGUUACAUUAACUUAUUUAUGCCUAAGACAAGAGAUCUAGGUGAUGGUUGUGAUUGCAGUAAUGAGUAGUGUAAACUUCUUAGGUACGUUGCUAAACCUUAUUGGCAUGAUCUCUGUAUGAGCGUCAUAGCAAGGAGUACAAAGGCUGGAUUUUCAUUAUUUUAAUUCUAUAGGCAAGAUUUCUAUGUGAUUAAGAGUUAAUGAACACAAACCGGUUAAGUGAUGAAAAUAAUCAUGUGGCAUAGAUUAUUACUUGCAGUCUUAUAAGCAUGAUUUCUAAGUGUAAGAACUUAAGAACAUGAUCUCUAGGCCGUGGUAAAAUAGACGAGCAAAUUAACACAUACUAGACCCUAUAGGCAUGUUAACUAGUGAUGUUAUUGGAUUAUUGGACCUUAUAGGCAAGUUAUCUAGGCAGUGCUCAAUUCAUACUAAUUAGGGUCCUAGAAUCACGUUUCUAGGUGAAAUGAACACGUUAAAAUAAAAUUCCUACAGGCAUGGCUUCUAUUAACAAAUAGUAUGUAGGAAUUCAAGACCCAUAGGCAUGUUUUUUUAUUGGUAAGUAGAACAUAGGAAUUUAAAAAUCUAUAGGCAUGCUUUCUACCCUUAAUAUAAAUAAAAUCCUAUAGGCAUGCUUUCUGAAAGAUAGAAUACCCAAACCCCAACAUCCAAUAGCCCCCAUAACUAUGUUUUUAUAAGGGUUAUUAUUACAUGCCCAACAGAAAGAGAUUACAAAAAACCAAGUCUUAAUUAUAUGUGGUAAGCUAUAUCAUGCUUGUCACUAAUUCAAACAAGAAAAACCAAGUCUUAAUUGUAACUACCCGACUAGUUAUUUUGAGCAUUUGCAUUCCGUUCAGCCGUUUGAAGUCUUGAGUAGAUUCAUAUGAUGAAUCAUCGUUAUUGGUUUUCAGGUUAUUCAGAAUUGAUUUGGAAAAAUGAUUCUUAGCUAGGAAGCUUUAAGUUGAAAGAGUUGUCCUAGUUUGACUUUUUAGUCAUUGAACUCGGAUUGGAGUUUUGAUAGUUCCGUUAGGUCUAGAUGGUGAUUUUGGACUUGGGCAUAUGCUUGGAUUUGCAUUUGGAUAUUUCUAGAAGGUUUCGGCACUAUUUGGCGAAAGAUGGAAAUUUAAAGAUUUUGGAAUGUUCAUAAGUUUGACCGGUAGUUGGCCUUGAUGAUAUCAGAUUUGAAUUGUGGUUCCGGAAAUUGGAAUAGCUUCGUUAUGUCAUUUGGGAAUUUGUGUGCAAAAUUUGAGUUCAUUACGAGUUGAUUUGAUAAGGUUUGGCAUGAGUUUUGGAAAUUGAAAGAUUCAAAGUUCAUUAAGUUCGAUUUGAGGUGCAAUUUGUUGUUUUGAUGUUGUUAUGUGUGAUUUGAGGCCUCGAAUUAGUUUGUGUUAGUUUAUGGGACUUGUUGGUAUGUUUGGAGGGGGUCCCGAGGGGCUUGGGUGAGUUUCGGAUAGGUUUAGGUUGUGUUGCGCUCGCUUUUGAUGUUUCGACGUUGUUUCUUCAAGCAUAAGUGGUACUACAUUAAACAAAUGAGCUCCAAUUUCGGUUUUGAUUGAAGUAUUAGAUCCGUAUCAUAAUUUUGGAACCAUAGCAACUAGAGUCAUCAAGUUUCGACAUCGUAUGAGAAAUUUAUGGCCAUUUUAUUAAGAAUUGGGUUGCUAGAUUUUUUCAACUUAAUUACGAGAUUGUCACUGAAUUCGUAUUUAAAAAUCUGCACUAUUUUCAAAUAGUGAAACCGACAUAUCUCCUUCAUUAUAAGGUCAAAUGGAGUGAUUCAAAAGCCUAACUUGACUGAAAUUUCACAAGGAAUCCCUUGGAGGCAUCAAAAGUGAGUUUCAGGAUCGUUUGACAUGAGAAACAAGGCAGAACAACUGACAAAAAUAUAUAAUAUCAAGGGUUUGUUCAUUUGGUCAUAUUUUGAGUUGGAGAGCUCGGAUUUGGCCGAUUUUCACCAUAUGGAUUGGGGUAAGUGUUCGCUACUUGGUUUUGAUUAUAUUUCAUGAAUCUAUCUUCAUUUUUAGUAAUUUGAUUAUGAAUUUUAAAGAGAAAAUUUAGUUCUGCUUCCAACUACCGAUUGGAAAAGGCUUGGACAUAUAACAAGAUUAAAUAAGAGGUAUUGCAUACGGGAGUGAUAUAUUAAAUGAAAGUGUCUAAAGUUUCAUAGAGUGAAUUUGAGUUUUGAACAUCGAUUCGCAGUCGGAUUUGAAUGAAACUUGUAUGGUUGAACUCGUAAUUAAAUGGAUUAUCGGAUUUUGUGAGUUUUUUGGGUUCCGAGGUGCGGGCCCCGAUUUGACAUUUUUGUUGACUUUGGGAUUUUGAUUAAAGAUUUGACCUUUACCAUUUGGAAUUGUUUCAUUAGGCAUUAUUUGAUGUUCUUGAGUUGCUUUUGGCUAGUUUCUAGCCAUUCAGAGGUUGGUACACUUCUCGAUGGCAUUUUUGGAGUAUUAUUUGGCUUGCUCGGUAUUGGAUUCGGCUUGUUCGAGGUAAGUAACACUUCUAAACUUGGUGCUGAGGGUAUUAACCCCUGAGAACACAUGUUAUGUGCUGGCAUUGAGGUGACGCACAUGCUAGGUGACGGGCAUGCAGGCGUGCAUCGUGUGAAUUGUGACUCUGUUAUUUCUGUGGUAUUGUGUAGUUACCUAAUCUUAUUUGUAUCCAUGAAAUCUGUACGUGCUAGAGUAAUUGAGCUGUGAUCCAUAUUAGAAACUGUGUUUAGGGUACAUGCUUAUUCUAUUGGGACCUACUGGGGUUAUAUCAGUUGUUGAGUUAUUUGCUUAAAUUGCAGUUACAUACGCUAUCAUACUCAUUCAUUGGAAUAUCAUAUCUCAGUAUCUGCUGCUAUUUAUUGAUAUAUCAUAUCAUCAUUUUGGACUAAUGACAUUGUGAGCCUGAGAGAUUGGGGAAUUUGAUGAUUGAGUGAGACCGAGGGCCUGAUUGUGAGGAUGUUUAUGGGAUUGGGCUGCACGCCGCAGCAGACUUUAUCGAUUCAUGCCAUUAUUGGCUUAUUAUAGUGCUUGGGCUAGAAUUGCCCCUCUGGAAUCUGCACAUCCACAGUGAGCUCAGGUACCUACUGAGUGCGAGUGCGAAUGCCGAGAGAGAAUAUAGAGUGACUGUGAGGGCUGAGUGGCUGUGAGGACUUAGUGACUAGAAGGACUGAUUGAAUUGAUACUCUGAGAGUAUGCAUAUGGUUUUAUCACCGAGUUGCAUUGCAUUCGACAUGCACACUUGAAAUACAUGCAUAGAGAUGCAUUUCCCUCAUGUUGUACGGUAUUGCGUCAUUCAUGACUUCAAAUACACAUUGACGUGUAGGCAUAGAGAUGUAUUUUCCUUAUGCCAUUCGAAAAUGAAACAUUUACCUAAUGAAAGCUUUGGGAAAAAUCAAACUUUUACAAACUUACUCAUAUUUUUUUGGUGAUUUCAAUAAAAGAUUUCAGUUUUUACUAAUAUACUUGAAAAACAUGCCUAUUUUUUCGGAACUAUAAACGAGCUGACAUUUUAUCUCUGAAUUACAUCUUUUAGCACUUUUAUUAUGUUGUUGUGAGCUGUUGUUGGCUAUUGGUGUUGGACUCCGACUUUGUUCCUGAUCUUCACUACUUUCAACCUAAGAUUAGGUUUGUUACUUAUUAAGUACAUGGGGUCGGUUGUACUCAUACUACACUUCUGCACCUUAUGUGCAGAUUUUAGAUGUUGAUGUUGCUGUGUAUGGCGGGAGCUGUAUUUGAAGAUGUGUCUGCG